CCUACGGGUGGCAGCAGUGGGGAAUAUUGGACAAUGGGGGGAACCCUGAUCCAGCCAUGCCGCGUGUGUGAAGAAGGCCCUCGGGUUGUAAAGCACUUUCAGUGAGGAAGAACGCCUGGUGGUUAAUACCCAUCAGGAAAGACAUCACUCACAGAAGAAGCACCGGCUAACUCCGUGCCAGCAGCCGCGGUAAUACGGAGGGUGCGAGCGUUAAUCGGAAUUACUGGGCGUAAAGCGCGCGUAGGUGGCUUGAUAAGCCAGUUGUGAAAGCCCCGGGCUCAACCUGGGAACGGCAUCCGGAACUGUCAAGCUAGAGUGCAGGAGAGGAAGGUAGAACUCACGGUGUAGCGGUGAAAUGCGUAGAGAUCGGGAGGAAUACCAGUGGCGAAGGCGGCCUUUUGGACUGACACUGACACUGAGGUGCGAAAGCGUGGGUAGCAAACAGGAUUAGAUACCCCUGUAGUC
rnacentral:rRNA from 1 species